UGAAUACGAGACGCUACGGCGUUGAAGCAGUCUAUGUCAUACUUUCAAGAAAAGCUCGCAAUGUCUUAAACAAAUAAUGCCUGUACCAUAACCGACACAGGUGGGUAGGUAGAGUAUACUAAGGGGCGCGAGAUAACUCUCUCUAAGGAACUCGGCAAAAUGACUCCGUAACUUCGGGAGAAGGAGUGCCUUAUUUAUAAGGUUGCAAUAACAAGAUCCAAGCAACUGUUUAUCAAAAACACAGGUCUCCGCUAAGUCGUAAGACGAUGUAUGGGGGCUGACGCCUGCCCAGUGCCAGAAGGUUAAAGAAGUUGGUUAGCAUUAGCGAAGCUGAUGACUGAAGCCCUGGUGAACGGCGGCCGUAACGAUAACGGUCCUAAGGUAGCGAAAUUCCUUGUCGGGUAAGUUCCGACCCGCACGAAAGGCGUAAUGAUUUGGAUACUGUCUCGGAGAGGGACUCGGUGAAAUAGACUUGUCUGUGAAGAUGCGGACUACCUGCACCUGGACAGAAAGACCCUAUGAAGCUUUACUGUAACUUGAAAUUGAAAUUGGACUUUAUUCGCGCAGUAUAGGUGGGAGGCUUUGAGAAUAUUCUUGCGGGAAUAUUUGAGCCAUCAGUGAGAUACCACUCUUGUAAUGUUAGAUUUCUAACUUUGUAUCAUGAUCUGGUCAAAGAACAGUUUCAGGCGGGCAGUUUGACUGGGGCGGUCGCCUCCCAAACGGUAACGGAGGCGUACAAAGGUUUCCUCUGAACGGGUAGAAAUCGUAUCUAGAGUGUAAAGGCAUAAGGAAGCUUGACUGUGAGACCUACAAGUCGAGCAGGGACGAAAGUCGGUCUUAGUGAUCUGACGGUGCUGAGUGGAAAGGCCGUCACUCAACGGAUAAAAGUUACUCUAGGAUAACAGGCUGAUCUCCCCCAAGAGUUCACAUCGACGGGGAGGUUUGGCACCUCGAUGUCGGCUCAUCGCAUCCUGGGGCGGUAGUACGUCCCAAGGGUUGGGCUGUUCGCCCAUGAAAGCGGUACGCGAGCUGGGUUCAGAACGUCGUGAGGCAGUUCGGUCCAUAUCCGGUGUAGGCGUUAGAAUAUUGAGAGGAGCCUUCUUUAGUACGAGAGGACCGAGAAGGACAUACCUCUGGUGUACCAGUUAUCGUGCCAACGGUAAACGCUGGGUAGCUAUGUAUGGAGAGGAUAACCGCUGAAAGCAUCUAAGUGGGAAGCCCACCUCAAGAUAAG
rnacentral:rRNA from 1 species